CUUCAUUUUUCCCACUGAGGUUUGGAGAUUGUCUCAUGGGGACCGGUCCCCAGGCUGCCUUUACGAAUUGCUCUAAUUACGCAUGGAGAUUUUCCCACAGGCGCUUUUAAUAACUUCAGGGAUGGUCCCUCUCUCACUUCCCAAGACACCAGAAGGGUGUGUCCGCAUCACCUGUUGUUGAGGGGCCUGCACUUCCAAGGACAGAAAGUUGACUUUAAAGUAUAGUCAUCGCAUGACUGCAGCAGGCUUCUUGAGUUGUUGCUUCUACAACCAGCUGUGUAGCCUCCAGAGUCCUUUCUCUGUAAGGGAGGAUGUGGACUGCGAGACCAUUGGCACCUGCAACACCGAACACCCAGAGGGCAAGCUCAUGGCUUGUAGACUGAAUUCUGCCAGGGUACCUGUUUUGUUGUAAUUUUUUAAAUUGCUGGGUGCGAUGGCUCACGCCUGUGAUCCCAGCACUUUGGGAGGCCAAAGCAGGCGGAUCAUGAGGUCAGGAGAUCUAGACCAUCUUGGCUAACACGGUGAAACCCCAUCUCUACUAAAAAUACAAAACAUCAGCUGGGUGUGAUGAGCCUCUAGUCUCAGCUGCUCAGGAGGCUGAAGCAGGAGAAUCACUUGAACCCAGGAGGCUGAGGUUGCAGUGCGCCGAGAUCGCACCACUGCACUCCAGCGUGGGCAACAGGGCGAG